AACCCUCACCAUCUUCAUCAUCUCAAUUCCAUAUGGGAACCAAACUUUAAUUCACCAUAACUUAUCCGUUUUAGCUCGGUUUUGGUCGAUUCUUGCGGCAACGGAAAGAGGAGAACCAUACCUACUGAUUGAGCCCAAUAAAUCAAGACAAACCGAGAGGCGACGGGAUCGACGGUUUUGGCCUAGGAGUAUUCGGCCAAGACUAAUGCGUGUAAAUGAUUUGGAUUGGAAAGCAAGGAGUACCUAGACUUGGAGUGACUAGAAGUCCAUUGUUUUGCCGGGAGUCUGUCUUGCCAUAUAUAGUCCGACUUCCGUGACCGCUGCAGUAGUACAUUGUGUGACCAGUCAUGACCUAGGAUAAUAUUAUAGUGUUGGAAAAUGUUUAUAAUUGCUGUUGUAUAUAAAAUGAAUAUUAUAACAAUGUUAGAUAUACAUAGUCAGUGUUUAUAAAAUGGCUAGUAAUGUUUCCAUAAUUAAA